ensembl:processed_transcript
AAAACCUGAUUUACGCCUAUUAUCUUAGUUUUCUUUUUUUAAAAAUAUGUAAUUUUUAUUUUGUUCACGAAAAGCGUCUGUAAACUGGGUCGAAACUACUGUAUGAAUAAACUUCGGUCCACGUGACAUCCCUUCACGGUGAGUUUAACGCCGCUCUGCUAUUGGUCAAACUGCAUCAGCGGUGAGUUCUCAGAUGAGUUCAACUGUCAACAUUAAAUAUUACGUUAAUGCUGCAUAAUGUAUUUUUAUUGGAGAUUAGUUGGUGUUUAUAAAUAUGUUAUCAUUUACUUUAUAUUUAAUGAGUGAAAAUAUAUUCGGUUGUCCAGUUUAGGGUAACUAUGUCUAAUAAAACUUUGAUUCAUUCAUAUUAUUUAUUAUUUUUUUACUUUAAAAAAUAUUACAUUUCAAGUAAUAAGUUUAAAAAUGUUUUCGGCUGAUCUUUUUCAUUUUAAAUUAUUUAUUGAAGUUGGGGUCAUUGUAUGUGGCGAUCUAUUUUUUACAGUCUAUGCUCGCUAUCCCAAGGUUCAUUGCGAUCCCAAGCUUCACUGCGGUUUUCCACAAGAUGCAGAAACUUUUGACAUAUGAAUUCAUCUUGACUAAGGGUAAGGUUUUUGUUCAGAAUUAAUCAUUAUUUAAAAUCAUUGUAUUUUCUUUGCUAUUAUGUACAGCUUUUAAAAGAAUGUACUUUCUUUUAAUAAAGAACUCUUCACAGCACUGCAUCUGAACAGUCACAACCUCACAGAGCUGCACAACUGCCCCACUCAAGAUCAGUGUUGAAGCUGAAACCUCAUCUUGUGUACAGCA